CUCCAGAGACCAUUAUCUGCUAAUUCCACAUUGUUUAUCAACUAUUUAAUUAUUUUAUCAUUCUUAGUUAUUAAAUCUUUAAAUGGUUUAUUUUUAUGUUUAUUGUCUAACCUGAUCCAGACGUGAUCUCCUACUCGGCAAAAGUCUUCUGGCUGGUCUUUUGACGUUUGAUCUCUGUAAGAUUAAUAUAAAACAUUAAAUCUUCCAUAUAUUCAUCCCCUCUAUCAUGAUUACAACUGGCCCGUUUCCAGCUUUUUAUAAUCCCUAUAGAUCUCUCAGCUGUUGCGUUUGACUCUGGGCAAUAUCUUAUAGUUUUAAUUGAACUGAUAUGUUUUUAGUUACAAAGUCUUCAAACUGUUCUCCUAUAAAAUAUGUGCCAUUGUCAACCCUAAUUUUUUUCUGGCCGGCCCCAAGCUACCAGUAAUUUAUUGACAUCUUUAAUAAUUGCAUUUGCUUUUGUCUCUUUUAAAGGCUUUCCCAAAAUUUGGCUCGUAAAGCCAUCUACUACCAUCAAUAGAUAUUUAUUACAAUCUUUAGACCUCGGGAUCAAAGGUCCAGCGAUGUCCAAAGAUCAUUCCUGGUUAACUCUGUCUGGUAUAAUACCUCCAAAUAUGGUAUAAUACCUAGGAAUAUCCUGGCUGAUUUAUCACUGUAACAUAAAAAAUCACUUAUUAUUUUUUGUAUAUCUUGCCAAAAUGUUGCAUGUUCAAUUUGCUUACCUUUUGACUUGGUGUAACCGUUGUCAGUCCAGAUUUGCAAAUUGUCAAUAAUUCCUGUUGCAACUGCAAUCCGUCACUAUUAUGGCCUGUAAAUAUCCAAGUUUUUCAGUGUUUUCAAAGCCUGGAACACUGCCAUGAGCUCUGCGUACUGUCCUGUGCCUUGCACUACUCCCUCUUUUGAAGCUAUGACCUUGUUGCUCUGUUUCAGAAUCAAAAGCCCAGUGAGCUUCCUUGUCUGCAGCCGUUUUUGAGCCAUCUGUGAAAACAACUGUAUUUUUAUAAAGCUCUAAUUUCUUUUUCUGUCAUUUUUUAAGUUCUUUUUGUCUGAUUUUCAUAUCUGGAUCUAGAAGCAUUUCCCAUCUCUGCCAUCAGCUAUUAAGCGCACGGUCAUCCUUUACAUUGUUUUGGAGAGAUGAGCUACUAGAUACUGCUGUUUUCAUGUUAACAAAUAUUAUUUGGCCCCUUGCCAGGCCUUUCAACUCGGAAAUAUCGUUUUCUAAGUGCUGCCAGCUGCUUCUUCACACCAGUAAAUUUAAGUGGUUCUUGGAUCUCCCAGCUUCCAGUCAUAAUUUUAACAGGACCAUUCCCGACGGCUGAGAGAAUCCUGGCUGGUUGUUGUCUUCCCUUUUCUCAAUAAUUUUUUCAAGUUCAUCCUGAUUUAUGUUAGUCAAUAAUACAUUUAUGGUCAAUUGACCUUCCUGUGACAUAUCUGUAAUUCCCAAUAGUAUGCCUUCUAAUACUGAAUUAACCGGGUGUUUAAAUUGUCCUGUUUCCAUUAAAGUCAUAUGUAUUUAA